rnacentral:misc_RNA from 1 species
UGUGCUUAGAGUGAAGUUUGAAUUAGAUGGUUCCAUUGGCUCUUAUCUUUUACAGACUUUGAAACUGAACUUCACUUUUCUAGAGAUUUGGAAUUCAGGAUUGGGGUUGACAGACUUUGAAACCCUUCACCCAGUGUCUAUCAAAUUCCACUCUUCUUUGGUGUAAUAUCUUUGCAUACUUAUUCACUCUUCUAUGCUUUUUAUUGAAUUAAUGUAUUAGAAGUUUAUUAAUGAAAUUGGGAUUUUACA